CAACAUAAUAAAUAAGUAAACCUCACAAUGCAAUAUGUCAAUGUAUAAGGGUAAACUCUAUCCAAACAACCGAGUAUACUACGAUGCAAUAAUGAAACCGGCAAGUAUACUAAAUGUACCAAUGCUAAAACAUAAGCGUGUCCAAGUAAUCCAACUACUAAUCCUAUCUAGUAGUGAUUGUUCAUAUUCAACACCGUGUCGAUUUCCAUUUCCAAUUUAAGGACCUACCCAAGGUAGUCCAGCUUGUGCCGCCUAAGUGCCUGUGGUAGCCCAACAUCCCUACUAUUGGGAUGUGUCUGUCCCACUCGACCCCGUAGGCUUCUCAAUACCGCACGAGCGAACGUAGUCGCGUAGGCUAACUCCGGAGUGCCGGCUUGUAGGGAGCGACCCUCACAAGCAUGUGCGAAUGAGCACAAAUGGCAAGCAAGCAAAGUCCAAGUCUCAAGUAUCCAAUCCUCAUGUCUCUAACAUGGUAUAGUUACUAGCAUCCCGAAGAUCUAGUUCAAGUUAUAAGUGAAGUCCCAACACACACUUGCUUAGUGCCUCUUCAUGACACUUAAGCUCCACAACUAAUCAUGUUCCAAUUAAGACAUUAACAUUAAUGCUCACUAUGCCCCGGGCCCCAAUGCCUCUUUGUGACAUCGGCCCAAUCUCACAUAUCCUCUAAGUCCCUAAGCCUCUCUAGGCUUCCAAAAAUCCCUAAUGUCACAUCUGGUAUAAAGUUUGAAUGCAUGAAAGCAAGGUUCGUUUUCGUAAUAGGGAUUGUAAUUUCAAGUCUCAACUAGAAUGCUAGGUCACACAUGCAUGCUCUCUACUAUAUAGAGGUCCCAAAAUUUACUAUACAUAACCUAUGCAUGUUAAGCAUUCUAAAAUUCAUAAUAAAUACAUUUAACAUGAAAAUGCAAGAAUUUCAACUUUACGAAGCAUUUAACACAAAAUAUGAGCAUUUCUCAUAUUGUAUGCUAGGCCAAACCCACCGAACGUUGCGAAGCUCUUCGUUUCGCCGAACCAAGUUGUCCCCGAGUCUCAAAAUAUCCUAAAAGUAUUGAGCGACAAGAUACACGGGCAUUACGAUCAUCACAUAAUAUCAAACUUUAACAAAUUUAGCAAAAGGGCUAAAACUCA
rnacentral:lncRNA from 1 species